AUGAAUCUAUCUUUCCCUUUAGGUAAAGAGGAUGAAUAUCCAAAGAAACCUUUGGGACAGCUUCCACCUGAAUCUGCUUGCAUUAGUCACCUGAGCAAUGGACAAAGAAGUGUGGGCAGGUCAAGUCCCCAUAUGAGCAGCAGAAGAGAAAGUGGCUCAUCACCUCACAAAAAACAUGAGCAUUCCCCUCACCAUCAGAGUAGAAUUGGUACACCAGAACGAGUAAGGGCGCUAAGACGGAAAUCAGAUGAUGAAGACAGUAAAAAGCUUAAAGAUGAAGCAGAUCUUCAAAGAAAACUUCCAUCAGGUCCACAAGACAGUUCCAGGCAAUAUAAUCAUGCAGCUGCUAACCAAAAUAGCAAUGCCACUUCAAAUACCAGGAAGGAAUUUGUGCCCAAGUGGAAUAAGCCAUCAGAUAUUUCAGCUAUUGAAAAAACUGCCAAAUAUGUUAUCGAAGGCAAAAAUAGGUCAGCACACCCCGCACUUACAGUCACCAUCCCAAGUUCUGCUGAUACUCGGGUAUCAAAUGUAAGGCAGAAGAUGAAGGUCUUGGAUGCUGAUGAAGGGAAACGGGGCUCUACUGCGUCCCAGUAUGAUAACGUACCUGAAAAUGACAACAGCGUUUCCAUUGAAGAGGCACUAGAAAGAGCCUACUCCCAGAGUCCAAGGAACAUGGUUUACUCUCACAGCCCGAGGAAGCACGUGGAGCCAGGUUCUAGUCCAUCAAAAAUAUCAAACAAGUUUACUUUUAAAGUGCAGCCUGCAGGUUAUGCAAAAUACCCAUCUCUGUUAGAUGGGGAGGAGCACAGGACAGUGCACCCUCCAUCCUACAGUAACCCCCCUGUUUACCAUGGAAAUUCUCCCAAACGCAUCCCUACUGCUAACAGCAGCUUUGCAUCUCCACAGUUUACCCAUGGGACUCAAAUGAAUCCUUCCCGGAGACCUUAUGGCUCUACCCUGUCAGUCGAUAUUUCUCCAGAGAAAUCUUACAGCCGCCCGCUUCCUGUUGUGCUGCCCUCCAGCCGCAUAGAAGUUCUUCCCGUUGACACUGCUGCCGGGGGAUAUGCAGGCAAUUCAGAGUCACCAAAGAAUGGACAAUUCGUCAUUCCUCCCGUGGAUUAUCUGCCAGACAACAGAAAAUGGUCGGAAGUUAGUUACACGUACAGACCCGAGACUCAUGGACAGUUGUGGACUCAGGAUGCUAACCGUGGCCACUUGAGCAAUUUACCAAAAUAUUCCGCCUUUCAGCAUGUUCCCUUUCAGGACCAUAGCCUCCCGGCAGUUUCAGUAGAUAGUCCAGUGCGAUAUAGAACUUCCCCAGGUUUAGAAGAUGCCAGUUCCUCUGGGUAUCAAUAUUCAGGGCCCUCGCCUCCAGUGUAUCACUACAGAAAUCGGGAUGGACUUUCUAUUCAAGAAUCAGUAUUGCUGUGAGAAUUUAUCUAUACUUGGUAAAGACAAGAGAAUAGAAACCAUUUGAAACCUACAUUGCUAUGUUUAUAAUUGCCAAAGCAGUAUUUUAUACUAUUGUAACCAUAAACAUCUUGCACAACUCCAGUGUAUGCUAGUAAUAAGAAUAUAUAGGAGUGUUUCAUCCCCAUGUAGAUGCUGCUUAUGAUGAGCAUUUUUAAAUUGCAUCAUCACUGAACCUGUUAAAAAGAAUUUAACAUGGAAACAUAGCAAUAGCAUUUAGGGAUGCACGCAUAAUGAUAAUUCAUGACUCGGUUUCAUUUAUAUCUUUCUCCAAAACCUGAGCAUUUUUGCGCCAUUAGCCCAUCCUGUUUUGAGUAACAUUAGAAAGCACUGAAAAACUGUGUAGAAUAGAUAUUUUUAAGGCUUUAGUGUGUCUGUCUUUCAGUAGAUACCAGAAGGCCUCCAUGUACACACAUUUGAACACAGAACUAAAGGAACAUUAACAAAAUUAAUUUUGAUCUAUAUCCAUGAAAUAAUUUACUCUUCUUCCUUUCCUUAACUUGUCUUUCAGCCAAGUUCCCCCCCGCCCCCAUAUUUUUCCCCCAGGUCCUAGAGUGCCAUCGGGUUUUUCCCUGACUUCAUGCAGCUUCUCUGCAGUUGUGGCCCUCUUCUUUUCUUCUGAAAAUUAAAGACACUGGAGAGAGAAAGGCUCACCACUGAAUGGUGCUUAAACCCUGGGGCACUUGGAGUAAGUUCAUGGCCAAAGGUGGGGCGCUGCUCGUACCCCAAGAUCAGUUUUAGAGCAGUUUUGGUGCAUCUGUGCCCUUUGUUCUGGUCUGCCUCUUGUGAAGCUCAGAGCAGAAUGUUCAUUGCCAGAUGCAGGGAAAGUGCUGCAAUCCUGCUCUUUGUCGAUGCUAGCAGGAGGGGUUGCAAGUUAGGCUCCUCAAGCACUCACACGGGGCAGCAGAACAGACUCCUUUGAAAUCCAUUUGAAAGCAGGAUUAACAAUAUGGUUACUUCUUAUUUCUGCCCUUUAAAUUCCUGCAGGGCCCGGGCUGUUCAUUUACAUGAGCUUUUUCUGGCACUCUUUCUUUAAAGGUUGGUAAUCAGUGGAUAUUGCUACAUUUAGGCCAUUAAAUUAUCAUUGUGUAAACUUGUAAAAAAAUGAUCCUAAUUAUUAAUAGGAGUCUAAGGUUUUAAUCUUUUUUAAAAAAUAGUAUGACUUUCAUACUUCCAAAAGUCUCCUUUUUUUCUUUUGCAGUGAAAACAAAUUCAGGUUCAUGGUUAAAAAAUUAACAAUGUCUUUUAAAAAUAGUCUAUUACACUACAAUUAGCAAAACAUGGGGACAGUUUUGGGCACCCCCAGAAAGUCUGACUUUGUGUUUAAUUGGAGAGCUGGUUUUCAGCAUACUUCCCUCGGGUUUGAGCAAGGACGAGAGUAGAAAACCUAACAUCGAGGGCUCUUCUUGUUGCAAGUUGGGGCUUUAAACUUUCAAGGUACCGAAGUAUGUCUUUUCAAAUGAGAGUAACAUUUGUUUAGCUAGCGAAUGUGACAAUAUUUUUUAUGUAUAUAAUGAGUCUAAUGUAAUUUUAAUCAACUUGGUAAUGAUGUUAUUAAACAGCAAAACAAAUGGCAGUGUGUUAGCAGCUCACUGCUCUAUGCUAAAGUGCACACAAAAUCCCGCUCUCCCUGGGCUCUUGAUUCAGAUCGUGUGGAGGCUUAGAAAGAAAUGUAGAUAAAACAUGUAGCUGAGGAUAUUAAUUCCAAUUUUUAAACCAUGAUUCUGUGAACUUGUAAUAAACCAAGCUGUAUAAUUUAGGUUAUGAUAGUAGCAUCUGAGCUGCUCCAAAAUAUAUGUGUCAACAGUGGUAAAUACUGUAGAUUUAUAUAUAUAUAUACAUAUAUAUAUGCAAAAUAUAUAUAUACACACACUAUUUUCUUAUGUCAUCUAUGACAUUUUUAUCUGUAUACUUUUUUUGAUGUGAUUGUUUUUAACAUGCUAAAAGUAAUAAGUAUA